rnacentral:rRNA from 1 species
GAUCCUGGCUCGGGAUGAACGCUAGCUACAGGCUUAACACAUGCAAGUCGAACGAGGUAUUUUGAUUGAAGUUUUCGGAUGGAUUUCAAGAUGCCGAGUGGCGGACGGGUGAGUAACGCGUGGGUAACCUGCCUCAUACAGGGGGAUAACGGUUAGAAAUGACUGCUAAUACCGCAUAAGCGCACAGUACCGCAUGGUACGGUGUGAAAAACUCCGGUGGUAUGAGAUGGACCCGCGUCUGAUUAG